CCUACGUGAGGCAGCAGUGGGGAAUAUUGGGCAAUGGGCGCAACCCUGACCCAGCAACGCCGCGUGCAGGAAGAAGGCUUUCGGGUUGUACACUUCUUUUCUCAGGGACGAAACAAGUGACGCUACCUGAUUAAUACGCCACGACUAACUACGUGCUAGCAGCCGUGGUAAUACGGAGGGGGCAAGCGUUAUCCGGGUUUACUGGGUGUAAAGGGCGUGGAGGCGGGAAAGCAAGUCAGAUGUGAAAACCAUGGGCUCAACCUGUGGCCUGCAUUGGAAACUGUGUGUAUUGGGGACUGGAGAGGCAGACGGAAUGCCUAGUGUAGCGGUGAAAUGCGUAGAUAUUAGGAGGAACACCAGUGGCGAAGGCGGUCUGCUGGACAGCUACUGACGCUGAGGCGCGAAGGCGUGGGGAGCAAACAGGAUUAGAUACCCGAGUAGUC
rnacentral:rRNA from 1 species